UAGGGAAUCUUCCACAAUGGACGCAAGUCUGAUGGAGCAACGCCGCGUGAGUGAAGAAGGUCUUCGGAUCGUAAAGCUCUGUUGUUGGUGAAGAAGGAUAGAGGCAGUAACUGGUCUUUAUUUGACGGUAAUCAACCAGAAAGUCACGGCUAACUACGUGCCAGCAGCCGCGGUAAUACGUAGGUGGCAAGCGUUGUCCGGAUUUAUUGGGCGUAAAGCGAGCGCAGGCGGAAUGAUAAGUCUGAUGUGAAAGCCCACGGCUCAACCGUGGAACUGCAUCGGAAACUGUCAUUCUUGAGUGCAGAAGAGGAGAGUGGAACUCCAUGUGUAGCGGUGGAAUGCGUAGAUAUAUGGAAGAACACCAGUGGCGAAGGCGGCUCUCUGGUCUGCAACUGACGCUGAGGCUCGAAAGCAUGGGUAGCGAACAGGAUUAGAUACCCUGGUAGUCCAUGCCGUAAACGAUGAGCGCUAGGUGUUGGGGACUUUCCGGUCCUCAGUGCCGCAGC
rnacentral:rRNA from 1 species